rnacentral:rRNA from 1 species
UACGUAGGGCGCAAGCGUUGUCCGGAAUUAUUGGGCGUAAAGAGCUCGUAGGCGGCCUGUCGCGUCCGCUGUGAAAUCCCGGGGCUUAACCCCGGGCGUGCAGUGGAUACGGGCUGGCUGGAGGCAGGCAGGGGAGAACGGAAUUCCCGGUGUAGCGGUGAAAUGCGCAGAUAUCGGGAGGGACACCGGUGGCGAAGGCGGUUCUCUGGGCCUGUACUGACGCUGAGGAGCGAAAGCGUGGGGAGCGAACAGG